UUUCCGUAGGUGAACCUGCGGAAGGAUCAUUCGUAAUAAAGUGUUUUAUGGCACUUUUUAAAAAUCCAUAUCCACCUUGUGUGCAAUGUUAGAUCUCGUCAAUCUUGGCGAGAUUUUUAUACAUCAACUCAUUCUUUAACUAAUUUGUCUGAAAAAUAUUAUGAAUACUUAAUUCAAAAUACAGCUUUCAACAACGGAUCUCUUGGCUCUC
rnacentral:misc_RNA from 1 species